rnacentral:misc_RNA from 1 species
ACACAAACUGCGGUUGCGCAUGUGCACGUCGCCUCUUCACCGAGGGCCAACGAUUGCUGCUGGUGCUCCGCAUUUGGAUCCACAUCCAUUUACCCCUGUGAACUGUUAAAGUCUUUACAUAGUGAUAUUAACACCAUGUGAAUGCACUCUGACUGAACACUAGAAGCAGACGCGUCUCACGACGUCGACUGUCUUCGAAAAACUAAACCAAAGA